GAACGGCAGCAUAGGUGCUUGCACCUGAUGGCGAGUGGCGAAGGGGGAGUAAUGCAUCGGAACGUGCCCAGUCGUGGGGGAUAACGCAGCGAAAGCUGUGCUAAUACCGCAUACGAUCUAUGGAUGAAAGCGGGGGACCUUCGGGCCUCGCGCGAUUGGAGCGGCCGAUGUUAGAUUAGGUAGUUGGUGGGGUAAAGGCUCACCAAGCCGACGAUCUAUAGCUGGUCUGAGAGGACGACCAGCCACACUGGAACUGAGACACGGUCCAGACUCCUACGGGAGGCAGCAGUGGGGAAUUUUGGACAAUGGGCGAAAGCCUGAUCCAGCAAUACCGCGUGCAGGAAGAAGGCCCUCGGGUUGUAAACUGCUUUUGUACGGAACGAAACGGCGCGCUCUAAUAAAGUGCGCUAAUGACGGUACCGUAAGAAUAAGCACCGGCUAACUACGUGCCAGCAGCCGCGGUAAUACGUAGGGUGCAAGCGUUAAUCGGAAUUACUGGGCGUAAAGCGUGCGCAGGCGGUUUUGUAAGACAGGCGUGAAAUCCCCGGGCUUAACCUGGGAAUUGCGCUUGUGACUGCAAGGCUAGAGUACGGUAGAGGGGGGUAGAAUUCCGCGUGUAGCAGUGAAAUGCGUA
rnacentral:rRNA from 1 species